GAUGAACGCUAGCGGCGUGCCUAAUACAUGCAAGUCGAGCGAAGAGUCGAGUAGCUUUCUCUCCUAACGUUAGCGGCCGAGGGGUGAGUGACACGUGGAUCACCUACCUAUAAGACUGUGAUAACUGCGGGAAACCGGAGCUAAUACCGGAUAAUAUAUUGAACCACCUGUUUCAAUAGUAAAAGACGGUUUUGCUUACGCUUGUCGAUCGAUCCGCGACGCAUUAGCUAGUUUGUAAGGUAACGGCUUCCCAAGGCAACGAGGCGUAGCCGACCUGGGAGGGUGAUCGGCCCCACUGGACCUGAGACGCGGUCCAGACUCCUAUGGGACGCAACGGUAGGGAAUCUUACGCAAUGGGCGGAAGCCUGACGUGGCACAGCCGCGUGAGGGAUAAAGAUCUUCGGAUAGUAAAACUCUGCUAUUAGGGAGGAACAAAUGUGUAAGUAACGAGGCACGUCUUGACGGUACCUAAUCAGAAAGCCACGGCUAACUACGUG
rnacentral:rRNA from 1 species